AGGACCGUGAGGUGGAGCAAAACUCAAAAACUUGUCUCAGUUCGGAUUGUAGGCUGAAACUCGCCUACAUGAAGCUGGAGUUGCUAGUAAUCGCGAAUCAGCAUGUCGCGGUGAAUACGUUCCCGGGGCCUUGUACACACCGCCCGUCACACCAUGAGAGUUGGCAAUACCCAACGUACGUGAUCUAACCCGCAAGGGAGGAAGCGUCCUAAGGUAGGGUCAGCGAUUGGGGUGAAGUCGUAACAAGGUAGC
rnacentral:rRNA from 1 species